UCCCUCCUCACCGGCCGCCGCUCGCCCUACUCCGACCGCCGCUCGCAGCGCAUCUACCAGGGGUGAGUUCGAGUGUCCCUUCUCACGGCCAUAUUUCGCUCAUGUGCUCUGGUUGCUCUAGUUGCUAGAUGGCCAAUCUAUUUCAUGAAUUUUUGUAAUCUCGUUCCUGUGCUUUGGUUGCUAGAUGGCCAAUCUAUUUCAUGAAUUUCCUGAAGAAGGAAGACUAUUAUACAUGCAAUGUUGAGUGUGCUUUGUGCUAUUGUUUAGAUUCAGGUUGUGAAAGAAAGCAAACCUUCAUGCUUAUUAUUGUCCUAAUUAAGUGACUUGUGAUGCUUGGAUUUUAUAGGAUAAUUUGUACCUCAAUUCCUAAUGCUGCGUUUCGUUUUCUACUAUCAUUGCUAAAUGGUUGCAAUACAGGCAUGUGAAGAAAGGUGGGGGCUGAGGUUUUUCUUUGUUAUUUCUAUUUACUUACAUUGCUUUGCCUAAAAUGAAGGUACUCAUGUCCUGUGUAUCACAAUCGUCGUUAUAAAAUGCUUAUGUAAAAGUGGAACCGCAUGCUUGAUAUUUAGUAUACUAUGUAUAAUUACCUCCUGAGUAAUUGAUGAUCGUGGCAGCUUUUGGGGUUCAUCUACUGAUGUAUCAGUACCUCCUAUGUAUAGUUGUUCAUGGAGUGUAAUUUUUUUUGUGAAGCUUGAUUGGCGACUUGUAUGUUUGAAUGGGACAUCUCAUUUGUAUGGACAAAAUAAAAUUUAUCAUGUUUUGGACACUUGAUUUGUAAAGAUAAUUUGUUUAUGUCAAUUGUGAGCCGGAGGAGGCUACACAAGAG
rnacentral:lncRNA from 1 species